rnacentral:lncRNA from 1 species
CAAUUUGUUCAAAGAAACUCCUAAUUUUUAUAUAUAGAAUUUCCUUCUAUUCCAUGCAGAUCUAACUCCUAAUCCCAAAUCUCCUUCAUUAGUGAGUAUGGUAGAAGGACCUCUUAUUAAAUAUCAUCCAAAGAAGACAUUUUAAAGGGAAUAUCGAUGACACAGUUAUUACAUUAUCAGUUCCUUUGUUGUCCAUCAUAUUUAUCUUGUAUUGGAAAAGAACGUCUCUCGAUGAACGUUUUUUUAUCUUUUGACUAUUUUACAUUCAUGUUUUAACUAAACGAUCAAAUAAAAUAAUCCAUUGUUUUGACGCAGUAAUGCUUAUAAUAGAGAGUUUCUUUGAACACAAAAUCUUAUGCAGGAACGGGCCACACGAUGCAAGUCAAUCAUUAACUUCUUUUUUUAUAUAUAGAGGGACAAAAAUAUUUUUUAAAUUGAUCCAGCUUACAUCUUUUGUAGUAAUUUUGCUGGUUUGUGUCGGACAAAAUAUCCAACCCAAGUCAGGGUUUUUUGGGUACUCAAAAAAGGCAAAAAGGCUCACGAGAUCAAGACGUCUCCUCAAUAAGCUCAAGGCUGGAAAGUCAACAAUUUUGUUUUCUGAUUAAAAACCUGAACCCAGUGGACUACAACAUUAAGGCUCCGGUUGAGGGAGUUGCCUGCAACAAUUUACACAGCUCAACAACAUCCCUAGAGGCAUCCAUCAUGUCAACCUGGAAUGCAAUGCCGGAAAAAUACAAUCCAAUUAUUUUACAGUCAAGUAACGAUUUAUGAAAAAAUAAAUAAAAUUAUUUCUAACUUCAUCAAAUAGUUCCUGUAAAAAGUAUACCAUUGUUAAUAAGUUUUACCUUUUUUUUUUUUUGGAACAUGGGGUAUUAGAAUGAUUGUUAUAAUAACACUGGGCACUGCGUUAACUUUGCAUACUAUAGAGAAAAAAGGUGCAAAAUCAAUUGGUAGUUAACCAAUUCUUCCAAAUGUGGAAUUAUUACUAAAAAAAAUAAAGUUAAUAACUGUUAACAGUUUAAUAAGAACUAUUUCGUAUCCAACCAAUGAAUGUUAAGAGCACUUAUUAGAGGAAAAGAAGAAGAAACUUUGGCAGCUAACAACCAAUUACAUUGUGCAUUUUUUGUUAAAUAACCAUGCAAUACAACUAUUAAAGUAAAUGUGGCUUUAUGCACUUAUCAGAAUAAAUAGAGAUGCUGCUUUUGA